rnacentral:rRNA from 1 species
CACGCGGUCGGCGUCGAGAGGCGUUGGUCGUGCCGCGGCGGCUUUGAAAUACCACUACUCGCAUCGUUUCCUUACUUACUCGGUGGUGCGGAACGCGUGCGGCGUGGUCCGUGGCGUUCGAGCGAGUCGGCGCUCGUCGCGGCGUUUUACGUCGAGCGACGUCGGCUUCUCGUCGUCCGUAGUGACUCGUCGUAACGAUGAAUUCCCGGUCGAAUUAAGCGCGUCUAGCCUUCGCGGUUUUUCGCGCGAUCCGAUUCGAGGACACCGCCAGGUGGGGAGUUUGACUGGGGCGGUACAUCUGUCAAAGAAUAACGCAGGUGUCCUAAGGCCAGCUCAGCGAGGACGGAAACCUCGCGUAGAGCAAAAGGGCAAAAGCUGGCUUGAUCUCGGACGCUCAGUACGCGUAGAGACUGCGAAAGCAUCGGCCUAUCG